rnacentral:rRNA from 1 species
UACAGAGGGUGCAAGCGUUGUUCGGAAUUAUUGGGCGUAAAGGGUGCGUAGGCGGUGCGGUAAGUCUGUAGUGAAAUCUCUGGGUUCAACUCAGAGUCUGCUAUAGAAACUGCCGUGCUCGAGUGUGGGAGAGGUGAGUGGAAUUCCCGGUGUAGCGGUGAAAUGCGGUAGAUAUCGGGAGGACACCUGUGGCGAAGGCGGCGACCUGGUCCGAUACUGACGCUGAGGCGGCGAAAGCGUGGGGAGCAAACACGG